rnacentral:rRNA from 1 species
UACGGAGGAUCCAAGCGGUUAUCCGGAUUAUUGGGUUUAAAGGGUGCGUAGGCGGCCUGUUAAGUCAGGGGUGAAAGACGGUAGCUCAACUAUCGCAGUGCCCUUGAUACUGACGGGCUUGAAUUGACUAGAGGUAGGCGGAAUGUGACAAGUAGCGGUGAAAUGCAUAGAUAUGUCACAGAACACCGAUUGCGAAGGCAGCUUACUAUGGUCAUAUUGACGCUGAGGCACGAAAGCGUGGGGAGUCAAACAGG